rnacentral:tRNA from 1 species
GGAGAGGUGCCGGAGUGGUCGAACGGGGCGGUCUCGAAAACCGUUGAGCCUUAUGGGUUCCCAGGGUUCGAAUCCCUGUCUCUCCGCCA